rnacentral:rRNA from 1 species
UCCAGACUCCUACGGGAGGCAGCAGUGGGGAAUAUUGCACAAUGGGGGAAACCCUGAUGCAGCGACGCCGCGUGAGUGAAGAAGUCUUUCGGUAUGUAAAGCUCUAUCAGCAGGAAAGAAAAUGACGGUACCUGACUAAGAAGCCCCGGCUAACUACGUGCCAGCAGCCGCGGUCAUACGUAGGGGGCGAGCGUUAUCCGGAUUCAUUGGGCGUAAAGCGCGCGUAGGCGGCCGCCUAAGCGGAACCUCUAACCCCGGGGCUCAACCUCGGGCCGGGUUCCGGACUGGGCGGCUCGAGUGCGGUAGAGGAGAGCGGAAUUCCCGGUGUAGCGGUGGAAUGCGCAGAUAUCGGGAAGAACACCGAUGGCGAAGGCAGCUUACUGGACGGCAACUGACGCUGAGGCUCGAAAGCGUGGGGAGCAAACAGGAUUAGAUACCCGCGUAC